GCAGCAUGGUCUUAGCUUGCUAAGACUGAUGGCGACCGGCGCACGGGUGAGUAACACGUAUCCAACCUGCCGUCUACUCUUGGACAGCCUUCUGAAAGGAAGAUUAAUACAAGAUGGCAUCAUGAGUCCACAUGUUCACAUGAUUAAAGGUAUUCCGGUAGACGAUGGGGAUGCGUUCCAUUAGAUAGUAGGCGGGGUAACGGCCCACCUAGUCUUCGAUGGAUAGGGGUUCUGAGAGGAAGGUCCCCCACAUUGGAACUGAGACACGGUCCAAACUCCUACGGGAGGCAGCAGUGAGGAAUAUUGGUCAAUGGGCGAGAGCCUGAACCAGCCAAGUAGCGUGAAGGAUGACUGCCCUAUGGGUUGUAAACUUCUUUUAUAAAGGAAUAAAGUCGGGUAUGCAUACCCGUUUGCAUGUACUUUAUGAAUAAGGAUCGGCUAACUCCGUGCCAGCAGCCGCGGUAAUACGGAGGAUCCGAGCGUUAUCCGGAUUUAUUGGGUUUAAAGGGAGCGUAGAUGGAUGUUUAAGUCAGUUGUGAAAGUUUGCGGCUCAACCGUAAAAUUGCAGUUGAUACUGGAUAUCUUGAGUGCAGUUGAGGCAGGCGGAAUUCGUGGUGUAGCGGUGAAAUGCUUAGAUAUCACGAAGAACUCCGAUUGCGAAGGCAG
rnacentral:rRNA from 1 species